AUGGAGGUAAGACUGAGCUGGGUUUUCCUUGUGGUUCUGUUCAAAGGUGUCCAGUGUGAGGUGCAGCUGGUGGAGUCGGGGGGAGGUGCAGCCUGCAAAUUCCCUGAAACUCUCCUGUGCAGCCUCUGGAUUCACCUUCAGUGACCACUGGAUGAACUGGGUCCGCCAGGCUCCAGGCAAGGGGCUGGAGUGGGUUGCUGUAAUUAAACACAAACCUAAUAACUAUGAAACACACUAUGGGGAGUCUGUGAGAGGCUCAAGAGAUGACUCCAAAAGCAGCCUCUACCUGCAAAUGAACAACUUAGGAGCUGAGGACACCGCCAUUUAUUACUGUGCAAGACACAGUGUCUACUCCCAGGUUGAGCUGCAGCAGUCUGGUCCUCAGCUGGUGAAGCCUGGCUUCUCAGUGAAGUUGUCCUGCAAAGCUUCUGGCAUCACCUUCACUGACUACUAUGUUAUCUGGGUGAAGCAGAGUCCUGGACAGGGACUAGAGUUGGUUGGAGAUAUUGAUCCUGAAAAUGAUAAUACUGACUACAAUCAAAAGUUCCAGGGUGCCCACUCCCAGGUCCAGCUGCAGCAGUCUGGUCCUGAGAUGUUGAAGCCUGGGGCCUCAGUGAAGAUGUCCUGCAACACUUGA